rnacentral:rRNA from 1 species
GACGAACGCUGGCGGCGUGCUUAACACAUGCAAGUCGAACGGAAAGGCCCCGUUUUUGUGGGUCGCUUGGGUAGCGAGCGGGUAAGUAAUAAGUGAGUAACCUUCCCUUGCGGUUGAGAUUACGGAAGGUAAGUGGGGUUCCGACUGGAAAGCAGUGCUGGAUGGUUGGGGGGGGUAGGAUAGUUUCGGCGGUUAUGGAUGGACUCGCGGCUUAUCAGCUUGUUGGUGGGGUAGUGGCUUACCAAGGCUUUGACGGGUAGCCGGCCUGAGAGGGCGACCGGCCACAUUGGGACUGAGAUACGGCCCAGACUCCUACGGGAGGCAGCAGUGGGGAAUAUUGCACAAUGGGCGGAAGCCUGAUGCAGCAACGCCGCGUGCGGGAUGACGGCCUUCGGGUUGUAAACCGCUUUCAGCAGGGGCGAAGCUUGUGGUGAGGGUACCUGUAGAAGAAGAACGGGUAAACUCGGU